rnacentral:snRNA from 1 species
UUUGCUUUUUUAAUUAUUGAUUAGUUAAAAUUCUAUAUAACAUCUUUUCUUAUCAGAUUAAUACCAGAUAAGUCUUCUAUGUGAAGAUAAUAUAUUAAAGGGAGUUUUGAAACAGAGAGAUGUAAUAGGGACUUGCUCUCUCCUUCCCACACAUCCACCUCAGUACUGAAGGACUUCUGGAAAUGGUUUACCUCCC